AGUGAACGCUGGCGGCAUGCCUAACACAUGCAAGUCGAACGGCAGCACAGUAAGAGCUUGCUCUUACGGGUGGCGAGUGGCGGACGGGUGAGGAAUACAGCGGAAUCUACUUUUUCGUGGGGGAUAACGUAGUGAAACUUACGCUAAUACCGCAUACGAUCUAUGGGUGAAAGCAUGGGAUCUUCGGACCUUGCGCGAUUGAAUGAGCCGAUGUCGGAUUAUCUAGUUGGCGGGGUAAAGGCCCACCAAGGCGACGAUCCGUAGCUGGUCUGAGAGGAUGGUCAGGCACACUAUCAGUGAGAAUCGGUGGAGACACCUACGGGGGGCCGCAGCGGGGAAUAUUAGAGGAGGGGGGCAAGCCUGAUCCAGCAAUACCGCGUGGGUGAAGAAGGACUUCGGGUGGUAGAGCCCUUUUGUUGGGAGAGAAGAGCAGCAGGUUAAUACCCCGCUGUUAUGACGGUACCCAAAGAAGAAGCACCGGCUAACUUCGUG
rnacentral:rRNA from 1 species